rnacentral:rRNA from 1 species
UAAGGAAUAUUGGUCAAUGGACGCAAGUCUGAACCAGCCAUGCCGCGUGAAGGAUGAAGGUCCUCUGGAUUGUAAACUUCUUUUAUCUGGGACGAAAACGGGAUUUUUAUCUCAAUUGACGGUACCAGAGGAAUAAGCACCGGCUAACUCCGUGCCAGCAGCCGCGGUAAUACGGAGGGUGCGAGCGUUAUCCGGAUUUACUGGGUUUAAAGGGUGCGUAGGUGGGCUUAUAAGUCAGUGGUGAAAUCUCCGAGCUUAACUUGGAAACUGCCGUUGAUACUAUAGGUCUUGAAUUAUCUGGAGGUAAGCGGAAUAUGUCAUGUAGCGGUGAAAUGCUUAGAUAUGACAUAGAACACCAAUUGCGAAGGCAGCUUACUACAUAUAAAUUGACACUGAGGCACGAAAGCGUGGGUAGCGAACA